UGGGGAAUAUUGCGCAAUGGGGGGAACCCUGACGCAGCCAUGCCGCGUGAAUGAAGAAGGCCUUCGGGUUGUAAAGUUCUUUCGGUAUUGAGGAAGGUUGAUGUGUUAAUAGCACAUCAAAUUGACGUUAAAUACAGAAGAAGCACCGGCUAACUCCGUGCCAGCAGCCGCGGUAAUACGGAGGGUGCGAGCGUUAAUCGGAAUAACUGGGCGUAAAGGGCACGCAGGCGGUUAUUUAAGUGAGGUGUGAAAGCCCCGGGCUUAACCUGGGAAUUGCAUUUCAGACUGGGUAACUAGAGUACUUUAGGGAGGGGUAGAAUUCCACGUGUAGCGGUGAAAUGCGUAGAGAUGUGGAGGAAUACCGAAGGCGAAGGCAGCCCCUUGGGAAUGUACUGACGCUCAUGUGCGAAAGCAUGGGGAGCAAACAGGAUUAGAUACCCUGGUAGUCCACGCUGUAAACGCUGUCGAUUUGGGGGUUGGGGUUUAACUCUGGCGCCCGUAGCUAACGUGAUAAAUCGACCGCCUGGGGAGUACGGCCGCAAGGUUA
rnacentral:rRNA from 1 species